GUGCCUACAAGUAGUCAGAGCCCGUUAACGGGUGAUGGCGUGCCUUUUGUAGAAUGAACCGGCGAGUUACGAUCCCGUGCGAGGUUAAGCUGAAGAGGCGGAGCCGCAGCGAAAGCGAGUCUGAAUAGGGCGUUUAGUACGUGGUCGUAGACCCGAAACCAGGUGAUCUACCCAUGUCCAGGGUGAAGUUCAGGUAACACUGAAUGGAGGCCCGAACCCACGCACGUUGAAAAGUGCGGGGAUGAGGUGUGGGUAGCGGAGAAAUUCCAAUCGAACCUGGAGAUAGCUGGUUCUCUCCGAAAUAGCUUUAGGGCUA
rnacentral:rRNA from 1 species